rnacentral:tRNA from 1 species
UUUGUUGCCCGGGAUCCGCGGGUUCUCAUUGGCGGUGAGAUUGCUCCUUCCAGCACUCAUCAA